AACAAAGGGAAGAGGGAGGGGCGAGUUCCUGCCCAAAUUGAAGUCAAUGUCAAAGAGGAAGUGUUCAUUCUGCUUUCCAGGAUUUUAUUCUGAAAUAUUAUUAACUGCUUGUGCGCUGCAGCAGAUUUCAGAAGUGGUAUUCUUUUAAGUGCCAGAGUUUCAUUUCCAGGUUGGCAUUUCAAUAGUGACAUAUCAGGAUCAUGGGGUAUAUCCCAUAUGGUAUGUUGGACAGCACUGAAGCAGGUAAUAGAUGAAAUCAGAAGGGAGGAGUAGUAAAAACAAAUCCAUCUUGUAAAGGGUGAAUCUUGUCUGACAAAGCUGGUGGCAUUUUUUUAGAAAGGAGAUAAUGCAGUGAGCAGACGGUGAAAUCAUGGAUAUAAUCUGUUUGGAUUAUGAAGAUUAAAAGGCAUUUGACAGAGUUCUGCAUACUACAUAAGGUCAGAAACAGGACAGAAAGCGCUGCCCUUGAGUGGAUGCAAAACUGGGUUAGGUGACCAAAGGCAGACUUCACUGGGUGGAAGUUAUGAGUUAAUAAAACAAAGAAAGGCAAGGACUAGAGUAUUGCAGGAAUUAGUAUUGGGUUGACACUUUUCAUUCUACACACAGUUUAAAGGAAGAUACCACGGACAUAGUAUGUAAAUUUGUGAAUGACCUCCCCAGCCCCUGCAACUAAAAAGAACAACAAAUUACCCUGAAGAAAGGGAUUAGAGUGCAAUUCUAUUGAAGUCAGUUAGUCUACAUGGGCUUGGUCUAAAGAGGUGCUGAGCACUCACAACUCCAACUGACGUCAAUGGAAGCUGCAGGUACUCAGCUCUGCUGAGAAUCAUGACCCAGGGAUCUAAAUAAGGAAAAACUCGCAUGGAUCUUUUCAGCAGAAUGGGCACUGAAAUGGUUUGGUGAAACAGGUCAGAUAUCUAAGCAAAGUUGCAAGAAGUCAAUUAGCUUUGUAUCCUAAGCUUUAUUGGCAGCAGAAAGCCUGAAUCACAAGAACAUUUGGUUCUCUGGAAUUUGGAUCUCAUCGGAGAGAACCAAUGCCAGCUCUAACGAGAGUGACUGCCAGUUGUUCUUCAAAGCUACAGCAACAGCAAUUACAAAUUAAGGAUCAAUAUCUGAUCAGAUUCUUAUUAUGAGAGAUACAGACUCAGAGGUGUGUAAAGCAUCUGGUCCUAGGUCAGUGGGAUAGGUGGCUGAAACUACUAGUCAGCCACUAUCUAAAGACAGAAGUAGGAUGCUUCGAGGGAAACUCCAGGACCUAAAGAGGAGGUGACAGUUGAGGGAGCACUUGGGGAUGAGGGAGUGCCUUGGGAAAGACAGUGUUCCAGGGUUUCACCUCAGCUGGACACUCAAAUUCUACAGAACUCAUUUCUAUGGAUUCUGAACUUCCAAAUGAAUUGGCAUGACUGAUAAAAUGUCAGCCCCUACAAAUGAACCCAGCAGAGUGUGGUUCAUGUAAUCCUUACUAAUUGAACCCUGCUGGGUUUGGUCCACUUUGGUGAUGCCAAGUAGAAGGCCGGGGGGGGGGGGGGGAAGGGUAAGGCGGCACUUUACACACUGCACUGCUUGGGCACUCGCUCGUCGCCCUAACGGCUGAUUGCCACACCUCUGCAGAGCUCUGCUCUGGCCCUCUCCAUCAGCUUCUCUGCUGGUUGUGCCUCUCAGUCAGCCGCCCUGCUAGCCGCUUACUGCACCUUUCCCCGGCCUCCCUGGUGACGAGCGAGUGCCCGAGCAGUGCAGCAUGUAAGGCGCCACCUUACCCUCCCUGCCUUCCACACAAGGUGUGCGGUGAACUCUGCGGAUGAACCUCUGAACUCUGGGGGCUGCACUGGCCAAGGACAGCAACUGUGAGUGUGGUACAGAGAAGGGACGGGCACGUUACAGGGACUUUUGGGUUGCUGGACUUAA